GUAAAAACAAAUCUUAUAACACUAUACACUUAAUAAAAACACUUUUAUAAUAUAAUAUUUAUAAUAAUUAAAAUCAAAGUACUAAAAAGGAAUAAACUAAACAAAUUAAAGUAAUGACUAACUCAUUUACCUUGUGCAUUAUGGUUUUACAAGAACAAAAUUAAAAAUUUACUCCCGAAUUCUAAGCGAGCUGCUAUUUACAUAGCUAAGAGCCCACUAUCAGUUGUAGCACCAACUCUAGAAAAUGUAUUAGCAGAGGCUACAUACCACACGCGCUAGAAAAUUUCUGGUUUUCAGUAAAAUUUACAAAUAAACCAUACAGUAUAUACUGUAAUGUAAAAUUAUAGAGGAUAAGCCCUAUAAUUUAUAGCUAAUUACCUCCAACAUAAUAAUUACUUUAUAGGCUUAAAACCAGCCAGCAACAAUACUUUACCGUAUUAAUAAAUAAUAAAAUAAAUCGUCCGCAACAUUGCUAAACAAAACUGAAAUUUAAGUAAAACUUUCAAACUUAAAAUAUUAUGUAAAAAUAAGUAUUAAAAAACAUAUAUACAUCUCAAAUAAAAUGAUAAAAUAUACUAACUAAACAAAAUCCUAUAAAGAAACUCGGCAAACCAUUAUUUCGACUGUUUAACAAAAACAUUGCUU
rnacentral:rRNA from 1 species